CGCUCCGGGAGGCGAGGCGCGGGGACGGGACCGCGCAGGACUCCGCGCGGUCCCAGGGACCCACAUACCCGGCCAGCCGCCUCCCUUCUCCGUCCCGCCCGCUGUGACAGCAAACCUGGUUUGCGCGCUGGCGAACUUGCGCGACCUCCUUCUGAAACUUGGCCUCCUCCUGCGGGUUCAACGACAGCAACGGCUUAGCCGGGCCCGCGAAGACCGCCAUGGCGACAGCCUCCAGGCCAAAGAGCUCCACGCGGCUCCCCCGGAAACGCCGAGCCCUCAGGUCCUCUAAAGCGGAAGUAGGGGCUGGAGACCAGCGCGGCCGGGCGCGGAGGGCGGGUCAUAAAGCGCGGGACGGGGCGGAGCCUGGGAGGGGCCGAGCGCGCACACGAGCGCCCGCUGGUGGCCGGGCCCCGCCAGGCCUUGCUCUCCUUCCGGCCGCCUGUCUAAAAUGGCAGAAGGUUGACACUACGCAUUUCUACUGUAGAGCAGAUGUAUGGAAUAACUCUGCAAGGACAAGAAAUCCGUAAGGAAGAUUGCACUCUUCGUUUAUCUGCACUGGGAUUUUUACGCACUCUUCUGCAUCGAAGCAUUUCUCCAGACUGCCGCAGCACA